rnacentral:rRNA from 1 species
GACGAACGCUGGCGGCGUGCUUAACACAUGCAAGUCGUACGGUAAGGCCCUUUCGGGUGUACACGAGUGGCGAACGGGUGAGUAACACGUGAGUAACCUGCCCACAACUUUGGGAUAACGCUCGGAAACUGGUGCUAAUACUGGAUAUGUUCUCCUGCGGCAUGGUGGGGGUUGUAAAGCUCCGGCGGUUGUGGAUGGACUCGCGGCCUAUCAGCUUGUUGGUGGGGUAGUGGCCUACCAAGGCGGCGACGGGUAGCCGGCCUGAGAGGGUGACCGGCCACAUUGGGACUGAGAUACGGCCCAGACGCCUACGGGAGGCAGCAGUGGGGAAUAUUGCACAAUGGGCGCAAGCCUGAUGCAGCAACGCCGCGUGCGGGAUGACGGCCUUCGGGUUGUAAACCGCUUUCAGCAGGGACGAAGCUUUUUGUGACGGUACCUGCAGAAGAAGCACCGGCUAACUACGUG